rnacentral:rRNA from 1 species
UACGUAGGUGGCAAGCGUUGUCCUGAUUUACUGGGCGUAAAGAGCGCGCAGGCGGUUGGAUAAGUCGAAUGUGAAAGCCCCCGGCUCAACUGGGGAGGGUCAUUCGAUACUGAUCGACUCGAAGGCAGGAGAGGGUAGUGGAAUUCCCGGUGUAGUGGUGAAAUGCGUAGAUAUCGGGAGGAACACCAGUGGCGAAGGCGACUACCUGGCCUGUUCUUGACGCUGAGGCGCGAAAGCUAGGGGAGCAAACGGG